rnacentral:lncRNA from 1 species
ACCCCCACGGUUGCAAACCACCUAUGACGAAAGUUUUUGUGUGUGGAGUCGUACGAGGGAUGGGGCCGAGGGGGGAGCGGAGGGGGGGCCGGGGCUGGAAGUGACCAUUCGGGCGGAUGUUAACCGUCCUACCCGCCAUGCCGUACGCGCUGUCGGCGUCCACCUCCGCUGCCGCCGCGGCGGCGUCGCCGCCGCUCCGCAAUCCCGCCCGCGCCGCCGCUGCCGCCGCCACCGCUGCCCUGGAGCUGGCCCUCACCGCAUCAUCCCAGGCCGCCUGCGCUCGGGCUUCGCUCUCCGCGAGCCGCCUCCGCAACCCGUCAACCGUCUGAUAGGCCUGCUUAAGCUGCCGCCUGCCGGGCGGCGGUAGAGGUGCCGUGGAGGCAGCGACGGAGGAUGCGGGGGCAAUGGUGAGGGAAUGAGCACGGAAAACACACACGAAACUUGACGUAAUUCGGGGGACCCCUUCCGAAGGAGGAAUAUUCCAACCCCCCGCCAAGCCCAAAUCCCGGAGGUCUGCAGACGGCGGGGAAGAGGUGUUGACGGAACACCGCGGUGUGUGGGUAUGAGAGCAAUCGCCCCCCCUCCCCCUCCCCAUCCCCAUCCGUACACACAACAUGCACUCACACGCCUAAUUUGUGUUUGACCCCCCCCCUUGGGCCCCCUUGGGCCCCCCAGCCCCCUCGGAGCCCUCGGGGAACCCUGCUGAUGGCCGGUAGCGCUUUCUUGGAUCCGUAUCAACACUAUGUCGUACCCUGUCGUACCUGAGCAGCACUGCCUGUGCUGCCUGCUGCUCGCUGAGGGUGGUGGCCAGAUCUGAGUCCACCUGAACCUCGUGCG